UAAAAUGGCAUUCUCCAUGCAAUACACCAGGUACCUAAUUUGUCCUUUUGUGGACUUUGUGUUCUGGCAACUGGGUCUCAUGACAAGAACUGUUCUGCCAUGCUUGUCAAUGUAAUUUGUUCUAUAGAUUUUCCCAGUCUCUGCUUCACGAGCAACUUCUUCCCAGCGAAUCUCUUCUGGUUUAUAUUCUGCUCUCCAUUUUAAGGUUUCUUUCAGCAUUUUUGUUGCCUUUUUCACACUCCAGUUUCGUGCCCUUAGAUGUCUUGAGAUUGAUGCAUCAGAACAAUAAAUGGACAACUUUUCUGGCAAUGGCCCAACCAACCUUCUCACCUCAUUAAUCUUUGCCUGCUGCUCUCCAGUUGUCAAAGACUUCUCAAAGCCAUUUGAAGGAGACUUCUUUAGACCCUCACUCAUUGCAAGUUCCCUGACUGAUUCAACAAUUGGAAUGGAGCCUGAAAUAGAGAUGAGGUCAAACGAGAAAAGGGUAAGCUUAGAAAUAGAGAAUGUGAAAUAGGACCCAACUAUUUUGAUCAAACACCAUUAGUUGUUGAUCC
rnacentral:misc_RNA from 1 species